UAACUAAGAUUCUCCGCUCUUGAGUGCUCCUCAUGAUCAUCAGCAGCUGCUCCUCUUCUUGAUGAGCUCCUCAACAUGAUCACCGACGACUCAGUCUAUUUACUUACACACCCCAAAUGUAUGUCUACGAAUGUUAUUUAAUGGGCCUUGUGCCUUUAAACCAUAAUACAACUUUCAACAACGGAUCUCUUGGCUCUCGCAUCGAUGAAGAACGCAGCGAAAUGCGAUAAGUAAUGUGAAUUGCAGAAUUCCCUCCUCUUAUUAUUGUCCUCCACAUCAUCAACGACGACUCCUCGGCUUUUUAGAGGACUCCACCGGUCCACGUACGAAUCCUCCGAUUAUUAGUAAACGCAACUGCAAAAAAACCGAAUCGACUUUGACAAUUUAAUGACCCCCACACAGGCAUGCCAUUAAAUUCUCAAACUCACUUUGGUUUCUUUCCAAUUGUGAUGUUUGGAUUGUUGGGGGCUGCUGGCCUUGACAGGUCGGCUCCUCUUAAAUGCAUUAGCAGGACUUCUCAUUGCCUCUGCGCAUGAUGUGAUAAUUAUCACUCAUCAAUAGCACGCAUGAAUAGAGUCCAGCUCUCUAAUCGUCCGCAAGGACAAUUUGACAAUUUGACCUCAAAUCAGGUAGGACUACCCGCUGAACUUCAGCAUAUCAAUAAGCGGAGGAAAAGAAACUAACAAGGAUUCCCCUAGUAACUGCGAGUGAAGCGGGAAAAGCUCAACCCUCUGAAUAUCAAAGGGGCGCAAGGUGUGA
rnacentral:rRNA from 1 species